rnacentral:rRNA from 1 species
UUAUGGCUCAAGGACGAACGCUGGGCGGCGUGCUUAACACAUGCAAGUCGAGCGAGAAUCUUGUAACAGAAGCUCGGUGGAAGAUAUAAGAGGAAAGCGGCGAACGGGUGAGUAACGCGUAGGUAACCAACCAUAUACAGGGGGAUAGCCCAGGGAAACUUGGAAUAAACCCGCAUAAGACCACAUCAUCGCAUGGUGCAGUGGUAAAAAACUCCGGUGGUAUAUGACGGACCUGCGUCUUAUUAGGUAGUUGGUGAGGUAACGGCUCACCAAGCCAACGAUGAGUAGCCGACCUGAGAGGGUGAACGGCCACAUUGGGACUGAGACACGGCCCAGACUCCUACGGGAGGCAGCAGUGGGGAAUAUUGCGCAAUGGGGGGAAAAACCCCCUGACGCAGCAACGCCGCGUGAGCGAAGAAGGUUUUCGGAUUGUAAAGCUCUGUCUUUAGGGACGAUAAUGACGGUGCCUAAGGAGGAAGCCCCGGCUAACUACGUGCCAGCCGCCGC